rnacentral:rRNA from 1 species
AUACGUAGGUGGCAAGCGUUAUCCGGAAUUAUUGGGCGUAAAGAGUGAGCAGGCGGUUAAUUAAGUCUGAGGUUAAAGCGUGGGGCUCAACCCCAUAAAGCCUUUGAAACUUGUUGACCAGAAGAAGGGAGAAGGGAAGGGGAAUCCAUGUGUAGCGGUGAAAUGCGUAGAUAUAUGGAAGAACACCAGGGGCGAAGGCGCCUCACUAGCCCGAAACUGACGCUCAGUCACGAAAGCGUGGGUAGCAAAUAGGAUUAGAUACCCUAGUAGUCCACGCUGUAAACGAUGACAACUAAAUAUUGCCGCGAGGCAGUGUUGAAGCUAACGCAUUAAGUUGUCCGCCUGGGGAGUACGGUCGCAAGACUGAAACUUAAAGGAAUUGACGGGG